rnacentral:tRNA from 1 species
GAGUGGUUAGCUCAGCUGGUAGAGCGUCGCCCUUAAAAAGGCGAAUGUCGGGAGUUCGAUCCUCUCACCACCCAACA